AGCUUUUGGGAAUGAUCAAAAGUUGUACCUGCCCAAUGUGUUAUAUAUUAUGAAUGGCCGCGGUACUUUGACCGUGCUAAGGUAGCGCAAUCAAUUGGCUCUUAAUUGGGGUCAGGAAUGAAUGGAGUUNACGUGGUCCAGCUGUCUCUUAAUUAAUUAGUUGAAGUUACUAUGUAGGUGAAAAAGCCUGCAAGAAGAAAAAGGACGAGAAGACCCUUAGAGUUUUACUUAAUGUAAGAACAAGUUGUGUAUUCUUAUACUGGUUUUGUUGGGGCAACAUAGGAGCAAGAAUAAUUAAUCUCCUCAAUUAAAUUUACCGAUUUUCUUAAAUUUAAAUAAACUACCUUAGGGAUAACAGCAUAAUUUAAAAAUUAAGUUUGUGACCUCGAUGUUGGACUAGGAAACUUGAAGGCUAGCCGUCUUCAAGGAAAGUUCUGUUCGAACUAUUAUUCCU
rnacentral:rRNA from 1 species